rnacentral:lncRNA from 1 species
CUGUCUUCUGAUAGAAACGAACAUUCCUUGGAGAUUAUGCAUCAAAUUUAACAAAUGUGCAGGGCUCCGAGAGUCCCGAGGCCCGGUGUACGCUUCCCCCGCCCGAUCAGCCUUGCAGGGAGGGCCGCCCCAAACUGCUUUUUGGCGCGCGGGUGCCCCAGCCACAGGGCGCAGAGCACUUUGGCGCUUCCCUGGGUGAUCUGAUCUACGCCAGGUUCCGCGGUGGUCCCAGGAGCCUGCGGUUCCGAGAAGCCUGUAUCACAGUCAGGAUCCAAGACAGCACUGGUUUUCCUUCUCCAUUUUGCUUUGCCUGCAGCUAC